AAUUUGAUCUGGUAUUAGUGAUCUCUACGGAACAUAAAAAUAUAAAAUAAACUGCCGUGUUAUGUAUGAUCAUGAUAAAUAGAACAAUGCUAGUACUAGAUCUAGAUCUAGAUCUAUUAGUAAUAGUAGAAUAAAUAGAUCUAUUAAAGUUGUUAGGCCUAAAUGACUUUUAAAAUGUAUAAUCUAGUUUCAUGCUGUUCAACCGUUAAAGUAAAUGAAAAUCAUUAAUCAUGAUGGCAUGGCCCGACAAGAAGACCGAAACUUUGGACUGUAAACAAGGAGCUGUAAGAUGCGUGAAGUUUAAUGUUGAUGGCAACUAUUGCAUAACAUGUGGUAGUGAUAAAAGUGUCAAAUUAUGGAAUCCCUUGAGAAACUUGCUUCUUAAGACUUACAUUGGCCAUGGUUAUGAAGUGCUUGAUGCACAAAGCUCUGGAGAUAAUUCUCAUAUUUGCUCUGGCGGAAUGGACAAAAGUGUUGUUCUUUUUGAUGUAUCAACUGGACAGGCAGUCAGAAAAUUUAGAGAUCAUGCAGGUACUGUCAACACUGUUUGCUUUAAUGAAGAAUCUACUGUCAUUUUAUCAGGCUCCAUAGAUUGUUCAGUUAGAGUAUGGGAUAUACGGAGUCGAAAAAAUCAGCCUAUUCAGGUGAUAGAUGAGGCCAAAGAUAGUGUCACAUCAAUUCAAGUAUCAGAUCACGAAAUACUUACUGGUUCUGCUGAUUGUAGAGUUAGAAGAUAUGACCUUAGAAUUGGAAGAAUGUUUUCUGAUUUUGUUGGAAAGGCUAUAUCUUGUGUGAGAUUCACCAGAGAUGGUCAGUGCAUACUAGUGGGCUCCACAGAUACAAGCAUUAAACUUCUAGAUAAAGAUAGCGGAGAAAUGCUUAAUGAGUACUCUGGUCACAAGAACUCAAACUAUAAAAUAGACUGUUGCCUCAACCAUAAAGACACACAUGUUCUUAGUGGAUCUGAAGAUGGUGCUAUCUACAUAUGGGAUCUAUUAGAUGCCAAGCUUCUAGAAAAACUGGACUCCAAAACAAGCAAAACAGUGCAUUCAAUCUCAUUCCAUCCUACAGAGCCCAUUUUACUGAGUGCGUGUGGAGAUAAAGUGUUUGUAUGGGAGAGCAAUCAAGUUGAUUAAUUAAGGAAAAUACUACUCAGUUGAGUUGUAACUGACACAACCACAAAUGUGCAUAGAUCUAGUAUAAAAGGUGGAAACGUUAAGCCAAGACUGAAUUUGUUCUUACUAUAUAAAAGUCCAAGUACCCAAGUACUCUCUCUCUGUGUCCGCAUGUCCCGAGCAUAAGAGAUCAGUAUCUUCAGCGAUAUAUGGAGAUCUUAAAGAUAUGGACUUCAGUUGAAAA